UACAGAGGUCCCAAGCGUUGUUCGGAUUCAUUGGGCGUAAAGAGCUCGUAGGCGGUGUGUCACGUCGUUCGUGAAAACCUGCAGCUUAACUGUGGGCGUGCGGUCGAUACGGGCAUCACUGGAGUUCGGCAGGGGAGACUGGAAUUCCUGGUGUAGCGGUGAAAUGCGCAGAUAUCAGGAGGAACACCGGUGGCGAAGGCGGGUCUCUGGGCCGAUACUGACGCUGAGGAGCGAAAGCGUGGGGAGCAAACAGG
rnacentral:rRNA from 1 species